GGGGAAUAUUGCACAAUGGGCGCAAGCCUGAUGCAGCGACGCCGCGUGAGGGAUGAAGGCCUUCGGGUUGUAAACCUCUUUCGUCAGGGAACAAGGCAUUGCCUUUUUUGGUGGUGUUGAGGGUACCUGGAUAAGAAGCGCCGGCUAACUACGUGCCAGCAGCCGCGGUAAUACGUAGGGCGCAAGCGUUGUCCGGAAUUAUUGGGCGUAAAGAGCUCGUAGGCGGCAGGUCGCGUCUGUCGUGAAAACUUCCGGCUCAACCGGGGGCUUGCGGUGGGUACGGGCCGGCUAGAGUGCGGUAGGGGUAACUGGAACUCCUGGUGUAGCGGUGGAAUGCGCAGAUAUCAGGAAGAACACCGAUGGCGAAGGCAGGUUACUGGGCCGUUACUGACGCUGAGGAGCGAAAGCGUGGGGAGCGAACAGGAUUAGAUACCCUGGUAGUCCACGCUGUAAACGUUGGGCACUAGGUGUGAGGCUCCUUUCCGGGGGUUUUGCGCCGUAGCUAACGCAUUAAGUGCCCCGCCUGGGGAGUACGGCCGCAAGGCUA
rnacentral:rRNA from 1 species